AUUGAACGCUGGCGGCAGGCCUAACACAUGCAAGUCGAACGAGUGGCGGACGGGUGAGUAAUGUCUGGGAAACUGCCUGAUGGAGGGGGAUAACUACUGGAAACGGUAGCUAAUACCGCAUACCAUCAGAUGUGCCCAGAUGGGAUUAGCUUGUUGGUGGGGUAACGGCUCACCAAGGCGACGAUCCCUAGCUGGUCUGAGAGGAUGACCAGCCACACUGGAACGGAGACAAGGUGUAGACUACGACGGGAGGCAGCAGUGGGGAAUAUGGCACAGUGUGCGAAAGCCUGAUGCAGCCAUGCCUGGUGUAUGAAGAAGGCAUUCGGGUUGGAAAGUACUUUCAGCGGGGAGGCGUUACCCUCAGAAGAAGAACCGGCUAACUCCGUGCAAGCAGCCGCGGUAAUAC
rnacentral:rRNA from 1 species